GACAGAGGGUGCAAACGUUGUUCGGAAUUACUGGGCGUAAAGGGUGCGUAGGUGGUUUGUUAAGUCUGCUGUGAAAUCCCCGGGCUCAACCUGGGAAUGGCAGUGGAUACUGGCAAGCUAGAGUGCGGUAGAGGGUAGUGGAAUUCCCGGUGUAGCAGUGAAAUGCGUAGAGAUCGGGAGGAACACCAGUGGCGAAGGCGGCUACCUGGACCAGCACUGACACUGAAGCACGAAAGCGUGGGGAGCAAACAGG
rnacentral:rRNA from 1 species